AUGAUGCGGCGAAUCAGAACGGAAACGAGAAUAAGGAGUGCUAACGGGUCUUCCUACAAUUAUUCUAUCUCUGUACCAUGCCUGUAUCUAUCAGACACCACACAUCAAGUAAGUAUACUUCAUGGUUGUAUUCCAAAUAUCCCCCUAUUCUCUAUAGUGCACAAAUUUUCAAAUAAGAUUGUAUUUGUCACAUGCGCCGAAUACAACAGGUGUAGACCUAGUGAAAUGCUGAAUACAACAGGUGUAGACCUAGUGAAAUGCUGAAUACAACAGGUGUAGACCUAGUGAAAUGCUGAAUACAACAGGUGUAGACCUAGUGAAAUGCUGAAUACAACAGGUGUAGACCUAGUGAAAUGCUGAAUACAACAGGUGUAGACCUAGUGAAAUGCUGAAUACAACAGGUGUAGACCUAGUGAAAUGCUGAAUACAACAGGUGUAGACCUAGUGAAAUGCUGAAUACAACAGGUGUAGACCUAGUGAAAUGCUGAAUACAACAGGUGUAGACCUAGUGAAAUGCUGAAUACAACAGGUGUAGACCUAGUGAAAUGCUGAAUACAACAGGUGUAGACCUAGUGAAAUGCUGAAUACAACAGGUGUAGACCUAGUGAAAUGCUGAAUACAACAGGUGUAGACCUAGUGAAAUGCUGAAUACAACAGGUGUAGACCUAGUGAAAUGCUGAAUACAACAGGUGUAGACCUAGUGAAAUGCUGAAUACAACAGGUGUAGACCUAGUGAAAUGCUGAAUACAACAGGUGUAGACCUAGUGAAAUGCUGAAUACAACAGGUGUAGACCUAGUGAAAUGCUUUUACUUAGAAGCCCUUAACCAACAAUACAGUUUUAAGAAGAACAAAAAAAAAUAUAUAUAUAUAUAACAAAUAAUUAAAGAGCAGCAGUAAAAUCACAAUAGCGAGGCUAUAUACAGGGUAGUGAUGCACCGAUAUGACAUUUUUGGCCGAUAUGCGAUAUUUUCCUUGCCAGAAAAACCCAAUACUGAUAUUUUAUAUUUUAGGGGUCUUUUAAGCAUUCUAGUACAGUUAAAUAGUUAACACACAGGCACAUGGAUGCUGCGGUUGAAGGCACUGCAUCUCAGUGUAAGAGGCGUCCCUACAGUCCCUGGUUCGAAUCCAGGCUGUAUCACACCCGGCCGUGAUUGAGAUUCCCAUCGGCCGGCCCACAAUUGGCCCAUCAUCGUCUGGGGUAGGCCGUCAUUGUAAAUAAGAAUUUGUUCGUAACUGACUUGCCUAAAUAAAGGUUGCACACACACACACCACAUUGACCAAAAAGUUAUUUUGUUGGCAUUUAUGCAUGUCCCCAUUUACCAGUAAAACAUAAUAAUAAAAUUUAUUUCACUUACUUGCUGUGCUGUUUUGUUGUUCAGUCGUUUCAUUCUCAUCCAGGAUUUCUAUGGAACGACGUUUGGGUCUUUGCAUGUUAAAAAAGAUAUGCGUCAAAUAACACUUUGAUGUGUCAAAUUAGCUUGUUGACCAAUCAGGACCUGAAUAUGACUGCACGUCACAUAAUCAUUUAACACAUUCAUACAUUUUUUACGUUGUUAUAACACAUUGA
ensembl:lncRNA